UACGUAGGGGGCAAGCGUUGUCCGGAUUUACUGGGCGUAAAGCGCGCGUAGGCGGAACGUUAAGUCCGGUCUGAAAGCCCCCGGCUCAACCGGGGAGGGUGGCUGGAAACUGGCGUUCUUGAGGGCGAGAGAGGAGGGUGGAAUUCCUGGUGUAGCGGUGAAAUGCGCAGAUAUCGGGAAGAACACCCGUGGCGAAGGCGGUUCUCUGGGACGGUACUGACGCUGAGACGCGAAAGCGUGGGGAGCGAACAGG
rnacentral:rRNA from 1 species